UACAGAGGUCUCAAGCGUUGUUCGGAUUCAUUGGGCGUAAAGGGUGCGUAGGUGGCGCUGUAAGUCAGGUGUGAAAUCUCGGGGCUUAACUCCGAAACUGCAUUCGAUACUGCCGUGCUUGAGGACUGGAGAGGAGACUGGAAUUUACGGUGUAGCGGUGAAAUGCGUAGAUAUCGUAAGGAAGACCAGUGGCGAAGGCGGGUCUCUGGACAGUUCCUGACGCUGAGGCACGAAGGUCAGGGGAGCAAACGGG
rnacentral:rRNA from 1 species